UAUAAAACAUAUAUUUCAUAACAUCAGAUUGGAUCGAUUCUAAUACAAACAUGUGGCUGUUUAUUGAAGAAUCAAAAUCUGUAAUUAACUACGUAGUUGGUAAUGCACAUUGGCCUUGCUAAUGCUUCAAGAUCAAGCAGACGAUUUUGUGUUUAGUAAACAAGGUAACUGGAAGAAAGGGAAACGAAAAAGUUUUAAGUAUUACUACAAGAAAUGGCGAACGACAGAGAGGUUCUGAGAGAAAUAUGGGAGGGACGAUUACCUGUCUGUUUUCAGUUAAAUUCUGAAGAAAUACAUUCUCUCCAGGCCCCUGAUGCAUAUUAUUUGAUGGUUCCUCGUUUAAGCUACUUUCCUCUCGUUACUGAUAAGGUCCGUAAGCAGUUUGUUAGGUAUAUUCAUCCAGAUAAACAGGAAGCUGAAAUGUGGCUUGAUUUCAAUGGCCAGCCCUUGAGAUGGCAUUACCCGAUUGGAGUGCUGUUUGAUAUGUAUGCGUCAGAUAUCCAAUUACCAUGGAAUAUUACUGUUCAUUUUGACAAGUUUCCAGAAGAGGAACUACUACACUGCCCUUGUAGGGAAGCUGUGGAAUCUCACUUCAUGUCAUGUGUGAAAGAAGCAGAUGUACUUAAGCACCGUAGUCAAGUAGUCUCUAGUAUGCAGAAAAAGGACCAUAAUCAACUGUGGCUUGGACUGCAGAAUGACAAAUUUGAUCAAUUUUGGGCUGUGAACCGGAAACUUAUGGAAGCGAGUGGCGAGGAAGUAUUUAAAUAUAUUCCAUUCCGUUGUUACCGUGGUGAAGGACCUUUCAUCCAGCGUCUUGUGAGGCCAGUUACAGAGGAAGGACAACGAAAAUCUUUGCAAAAUCUGAUACAGGAAGUUUUCCCAAAUGAGACAAAUCAUGAAAUGUAUGAUGACUCAGCAGACCUUUCUUAUCAAGGCAAAGUUCAUAUGCAUACUUCAACAAUAUAAAACCAACAAGCAGUGAACAAGUCUUUGCCAUCAACAUACUCCAGACUUAUCAGGUUAAGAACUAUGGAGUGCCAAGUUGACAAAAACGAACAUUUCCGACACCUUCUCUGCGAGUUCAAUUGAGUCUCCAAAGCUGCAGAGGCUGCCCGAAACAUUUGUGCCGUCUACGGAGAAGACUCUAUUGUAUACAAAGUGUAUUUAUGUGUUUCGUAUGAUUCUCAGAAUAAACAAUGAUUAACAGCAUUUACCAAAUGAUCUUCAUAAUGGAGAUGCACUGUUCUUUUAUGGUGAGAAAUGAAUUUUGAAAUAUUAUUUUGAAAAACUUCAUUUCAAAUCAUUAAAGUGAUAGAUGUGGAGGACUUGAGAAAGCUGGGAAUUAGAUGCAAACAGGAAAGUAGUGACUGAGAGAGCCAUGUUUCAAACUGAGGUGUGUAGUCCAGGGAGGAACAACAUUGCAAAAUAUUGGGAGUAGAAUGGAAAUAAACUCUCAAGUUCUCACCAGGUGGUUCUGUAUCACUUAUGAUGAUCAUUAUGAAUCAUGUUAUAAAAGUAAAUAUUCUUCUUGUAUAUGACACGUUUCGUGGUUACAAAGAUAUUUAUUUCAAGUUUGCUUUAAGCCUGAAACAUAAAGUGGUUCAAAAAUGAAUGCUUUACAAGAUUUCUAAUAGUCCAAACAUGAACCAGUCAGAGUUUUUAACACAUAUAUCCAAAGAGAUUUUAACAACUUUGUAAAAUAAAUACUACAAACAUUCCUGUAUCCACAAACUAUUUAGACACCCACAGCCAAACAGACAGACACAAGGUGCCAACCAGAUCUAAUGAAGGUAUUGAUUCUUGUCAAUAAUGCAUUCAACUUUCAUUCAGUGAAAUAUCUACAUUAUUUUUGGAAAUAAAAGUAUUUGUUUGUCUAUA